CCGAUGAGUGAAUAGUAGUGGUUCCUCUAGGACCCAGAACCGGCCCUGGACUACCUCCUUUCCCGCUUUUUGCAGGCGAUCACCAGGCAGUUUCAUCCCUUGUUGACCUCGGACCGCAGCUUAAGCCUCAAACUUUAUUUCAAUGCUCCCUCCCACGUGCUCCGAAAGACUAUGUCUUUGCCGCUGUCCAAGGAACUGCGGCAGAAGUACUGCGUCUGCUCCAUGCCCAUUCGCAAGGACAACAAGGUCCAGGAGAAAGUCAAGAGCCUUCAGGCCACAGCAACCUUGGAAAUUGCUCUCCUUGGCAAGCAAGCUGGAAAAUUCAUAUUCUCUCCUUUCUCCACAUAUCCUUCCCGCUACUGCUCUGCUCCCCCAUUUCAUAGUCCGGCUUCUCAAAAGAGUUGUCUGCAUCUGCCAGGCGUGGUGAUCUACUCUUUUAUUCCCAGCAUUCAGGGGAUAGAGGUAUGAAGAAACUGAAACUCAAGUUAAAUAAUACAGAACAUGUAGCUGAGGAUGUCGCUGGGUUUCUGAUCUUCCCGAGUGCUGGAAUUACGGGCAUGCGCUACCAUGGUAGACCUCCGCAGUGCUGGGACCUGCAGUUAUCACCUCACUGGAAUCAGACAAAGACCAGAAGAUAACUGUUGAACUCAAAGCCAAGUCUCCGAAAGUUGGGAAAGAGAAAGGCCGAUAUAAGGAGCUCACUGGGAAUACAAGAGUGAACAUAAUUGUGCGGCAGGGGCUGACCAGUGAGGCCUCGUGCAGCCUCUUUGAAACUUUGCAAAGUAUGUCUGAGGUGUUUCGUUGUCCACCUGUUUUGCUCCUGAUUCUGUAAAUCUCCUUUCGCAGUUUUGAUGAUUUACAAAUAAAAAUUGGAGCCAUCUCCUAAU